UCUUGCUGCCAUGUUUUCCUCUGUUCUUCUAAAUGGUUCAUUCUGUCCAAAGAAAUAAUAAGUUGUGUACGGUAUUAGUUCAAACUAUCCAAAGAAAAUGCUUAUUUAGUGCAUUCUGACCAAGGCUGGCAUGUAUACAGGGUUGGGGGCCAUUUUACUUGGUCAUCCAUUUCCUUAAGUAAAAGCUGCUCUUUUCUGUCAGAUAUUUGCUGUGUGGAUGACCGAUCAUGCAACUAUAUAGUAAGAUAGUGUUCUUGUUUUCUGUGACUGUAUAAAUGACGAAAUAAAUUAGUAACUAAGUGAUUCAUUCUGACGUUUUAGUAAAAUACACCAUGUAUGUCCUGUAAGUAAGUUAGGCUUCAAUGCGAUAUCGAUUUUUUGUAUUAGAAUCUGAUAUUUUAUCUGCAUGUGUAGCACUCAAAUUACGUUUUUCAUUUCUGUUUUCUUUUCAUUUAAGAUGUUACUUUGAGUUGCUAAAGUUGAUGUUUCUCAUUUCCAGUAGGAUAUGCAUUUGAUCCAGUCCAUGUCUUGGUCUCUUUUUGAAGUGUGUUUAGCCAUGUUCUUCCUACAUGUGUUCAAUCCAUCGGUAGCUAGCGGAUGUUGUGCUGUGACAAAGGUUUGCUACCUUCCUCUUCUACUCCGUUUGGUUUUAUGGGCAAUUCUUACAAUAAUAUGUCCUUGCUCUGUUUGGCUGUGACAUGUGAAUCUGAUGCUUACCAACUUGAGAUAUGCAGCUAUUGUCUUUCUUAUACUGGUCCAUUAUGUGAUUUUUUAUUAAUUUCUUUGUAUGGACUACAACUUUUGAAUAGCAUUUCCCAGUUCAUUACUUUCCAGUUUUCGAAUAUCUAUUGACACCAACAAUCUAGCAUUUUCUACAACAAACUUACAAGGAUCAGCUGUUCAUCUCUAAAUUAAAUGGAGAAUAAUUAUUUUUACUUCAGAGCUGCAAGACCUUUUUUUUGCUUGGAAUAUAUGGUUUAAUCUAAGACUGAAUAAAAGAUUUUUUUCUCUUCUUUAAGAAGUGCCAUGUAUUACCUGUUUACCGAAAGGAAUUCAUCUUCUGGCUUUCACUAGACAUUGAUUGCUAUUUAUGCUUCUUUAGCAGUGAGAUCAGUCAGACACCAAUAGAAAUGAUUCUGACCUUUCAUCUCCCCAAUUUUUAUCGUGUUUUCUAGGUGCACUCCAGGAAAAAAUUAUUCUGCAAAGAAUCUUUAUCAACAAAGCGCAUAGGGAAGAUUGUCAGUGUCAGCGACCAAUUAUUUUGUUCAGCAGGUGUUCCCUUCAAAUGAGGCUCCAGCAAGGGGAUGCUAGCAGAUAUCAACCGGUUGGUUGAAUGUGUGCACAUUCUGUAAAGUCAACUUAAAGCUUCAGCAAGUGUGUUCAUUGUCCUCUCCAUUUCAAACAAACCAUCAGCUGGUUCUUUAAUAUUUUAUUACUUAAUCAUACUGUAGAAUUUGUUUCUUGGUGAUCUAAAACUUAUAGCCAUUAAGGGAAGCCCUUGGUUUGUAUUAGGUACUUGUGCCAUUGGGUGGAACUGUAUGAAAAAUAGUGAGAGAAUGCUGGUAGAAAUUAGCAGUAAUGUAAUUACAUAGAGAGAAGGUACUCACAUGUCACAUCAUAUUUCCCCAUGCUCCUCUUCAAUUGCAACAACUAUUGAAUUUAGUUUUAGUUCAAGCAUCUUUUUUAUGCUGUCAACAGUGUGUCAGUUGGUGCAAAAGAAAUCACCCUAAGAAACCGAGAUCCGCUAAUAUGUAUUCUGUAACAACACUCAAGUCCUUGAAAUAAAUAAGAUGAUAAUUUAUUUAAACAUGAAAGGAUAUUACCUACUUUAAAUUCUCUGAUAUAAUGGUCAACAUUGAUGGCGUAAACAUUCGCUCAUGGAUAGUUUCAACAGAAUUGUUUUGAGCUGCAAAGUAAAUGGAUAGAGCAUCAAACCAGGCAAACUGCAAGUGCAAAAUCUCCA
rnacentral:lncRNA from 1 species